rnacentral:lncRNA from 1 species
GAAAUAGAACUUCCUGCGUCUUCCAGUCUUCGAUCAUGCAUUAAAGGAACCCUAAGUUCAUCUGUCCCAUCACCACCUGCAGCUCCAGAAUCCCUUGACCUCUCGGAAACAUUAUCAAAGUACUCGUUCAAAUUGCUCUCGAUGGCAAGAUCUUGAGCCUCUCUUCUCAGAAACUUCUCAAGGCUUUCCACCAAAAGUUGCUCAAACACAUGGUGACCUUCCUUUCUGACAUCUUUGUAACCAUAUCGGGCAACGCAGCGGAACAUAUGGUAGUCCUUUGGACAAACUCUUCGGAAAAGAAACCUUUCCUCUUGGGGAACUACUGGAACAGGGACAUACUUGAUACAAACAAAUACUAUAGUAGAGUGGAUUGCUGGAAGGCUCAGCAGGAACUGCCCAAAAAUUGAGGGAACACCUUGGACAAGCUCAUUGUACAGCAAUCCGAUUCCUGGAACUCUUACAGUUCCAAGGGUGGAGCCAAGCUCAAGCAUAAAAUCCAUGGAAAUCUUC